rnacentral:rRNA from 1 species
UGGCGGACGGGUGAGUAACGCGUGGGUAACCUUCCUUGUACUGGGGGACAACAGUUAGAAAUGACUGCUAAUACCGCAUAAGCGCACAGUAUCGCAUGAUACAGUGUGAAAAACUCCGGUGGUACAAGAUGGACCCGCGUCUGAUUAGCUAGUUGGUAAGGUAACGGCUUACCAAGGCGACGAUCAGUAGCCGACCUGAGAGGGUGACCGGCCACAUCGGGACUGAGACACGGCCCAA